UGUAGUGUUCUAUUUCUACUGUGUGUAGACUGCAGUGUUCUAUUUCUACUGUGUGUAGACUGCAGUGUUCUAUUUCUACUGUGUGUAGACUGCAGUGUUCUAUUUCUACUGUGUGUAGACUGCAGUGUUCUAUUUCUACUGUGUGUAGACUGCAGUGUUCUAUUUCUACUGUGUGUAGACUGCAGUGUUCUAUUUCUACUGUGUGUAGACUGCAGUGUUCUAUUUCUACUGUGUGUAGACUGCAGUGUUCUAUUUCUACUGUGUGUAGACUGCAGUGUUCUAUUUCUACUGUGUGUAGACUGCAGUGUUCUAUUUCUACUGUGUGUAGACUGCAGUGUUCUAUUUCUACUGUGUGUAGACUGCAGUGUUCUAUUUCUACUGUGUGUAGACUGCAGUGUUCUAUUUCUACUGUGUGUAGACUGCAGUGUUCUAUUUCUACUGUGUGUAGACUGCAGUGUUCUAUUUCUACUGUGUGUAGACUGCAGUGUUCUAUUUCUACUGUGUGUAGAUUGCAGUGUUCUAUUUCUACUGUGUGUAGACUGCAGUGUUCUAUUUCUACUGUGUGUAGACUGCAGUGUUCCAUUUCUACUGUGUGUAUAUUGCAGCUCAUUAUUUAUCUGUUCUAUUUCUACACUGUGUAUAUUGCAGCUCAUUAUUUAUCUGUUCUAUUUCUACACUGUGUAUAUUGCAGCUCAUUAUAUAUCUGUUCUAUUUCUACACUGUGUAUAUUGCAGCUCAUUAUAUAUCUGUUCUAUUUCUACACUGUGUAUAUUGCAGCUCAUUAUUUAUCUGUUCUAUUUCUACACUGUGUAUAUUGCAGCUCAUUAUUUAUCUGUUCUAUUUCUGCAGUGUCUAUGUUGCAGUUCAUUAGACACUAUAGAAAUAGAACAGAUAGAUAACGACCUGCAAUAUGGACACUGCAGAAAUAGAACAGAUAGAUAUUGCAGGUCAUUAUAUAUCUGUUCUAUUUCUACACGGUGUAUAUUGCAGGUCCAUAUCCAGCUCUGCGUGUCUAUGAUUCAUUCCCCAGACUAUCACUAUCAGUGGCAGUUACCGAUCCCCACCAUUAUACGGUGUAAUAAUGUACAUCCAAGUGUGUGUGCAUGCAUCUCCUAA
rnacentral:lncRNA from 1 species